GGGCCCGCACAAGCGGUGGAGUAUGUGGUUUAAUUCGAUGCAACGCGAAGAACCUUACCAGGGUUUGACAUCCUGCGAAUCUCUUGGAAACAGGAGAGUGCCUUCGGGAACGCAGUGACAGGUGGUGCAUGGCUGUCGUCAGCUCGUGUCGUGAGAUGUUGGGUUAAGUCCCGCAACGAGCGCAACCCACGUCUUUAGUUGCCAGCAGUUCGGCUGGGCACUCUAUGGAAACUGCCCGUGAUAAGCGGGAGGAAGGUGUGGAUGACGUCAAGUCCUCAUGGCCCUUACGGGUUGGGCUACACACGUGCUACAAUGGUAGUGACAAAGGGCAGCAAGUUCGCGAGGACAAG
rnacentral:rRNA from 1 species